AUGGAGAGUUUGAUCCUGGCUCAGGAUGAACGCUAGCGGGAGGCCUAACACAUGCAAGCUGAGCGGUAGAGAUCUUUCGGGAUCUUGAGAGCGGCGUACGGGUGCGGAACACGUGUGCAACCUGCCUUUAUCUGGGGGAUAGCCUUUCGAAAGGAAGAUUAAUACCCCAUAAUAUAUUAAGUGGCAUCACUUGAUAUUGAAAACUCCGGUGGAUAGAGAUGGGCACGCGCAAGAUUAGAUAGUUGGUGAGGUAACGGCUCACCAAGUCGAUGAUCUUUAGGGGGCCUGAGAGGGUGAUCCCCCACACUGGCACUGAGAUACGGGCCAGACUCCUACGGGAGGCAGCAGUGGGGAAUAUUGGGCAAUGGGCGCAAGCCUGACCCAGCGAUGCCGCGUGGGUGAAGAAGGCCCUCGGGUCGUAAAGCCCUUUCGGCGGGGACGAUGGUGACGGUACCCGCAGAAGAAGCCCCGGCUAACUUCGUGCCAGCAGCCGCGGUAAUACGAAGGGGGCUAGCGUUGCUCGGAAUCACUGGGCGUAAAGGGCGCGUAGGCGGCCAUUCAAGUCGGGGGUGAAAGCCCAGGGCUCAACCCUGGAAUUGCCUUCGAUACUGUUUGGCUUGAGUUUGGUAGAGGUUGGUGGAACUGCGAGUGUAGAGGUGAAAUUCGUAGAUAUUCGGAGGAACACCAGUGGCGAAGGCGGCUCACUGGC
rnacentral:rRNA from 1 species